CAGGAUCCCAUCCCGUCGUGCUGCCCUUCCCCCGCGAUCCCACCGUGCUGCCCGCCGGCGUCCUCAUCGACGCCGCCGCCACCGAUCUUUCCCCGCAAUCCCGCCCUCUCUCACGCGAUUCCGCCCCUAGGCCCAUCGCACGCCAUCCCCGCACGUGACGCUCGCUCCCCGGCGAUCCCGGCGUCCUCGUCGAUGCGGUAUGCCCAGGUACAUCUUAAGAAGAAAGAAAAAUCAGCCGCAGUAUAAAACGCUGCCCGACCUGACUAGUGACAACCUGCCCCAGCCCUGUCCUGAGCGUGGGCGAGGCUUCAACGCAAUACGAGAGGCGAGGAGGCACAGGAAAGCAACCAACUCCUCUUUCGCGGUUUCGCCUCACCGGCCGCGCCGCCCACCGUCGCCUCGACUCGUUCGGGUGGAGUCCUCCCUCCUCUCCGACGAAUCCCUAACCAAGGCUUUUUAGCUGAAGAAACAAUCCUGCAACAGAAUGGAGAGCUCCUCAGCUAGGAACAAUGGUUCUGUGGAGAAUAACUUGGGUUAUACAAGAAGUGCAUCCAUGGAUUCAGCGGGUCCUCCUUUAGCUGCUAGGUCCGGCUCAAUGUUAAGUAGGAGAAGUAGCAGACAGGCCUCAAGGGGAUCCAUCAGCCUCUCCCGGGAGAUGGGGGACUCCAUAUUGAACUCAAUGAGGCAUUCUCUUCAGUCAGCAGAUCAAUUGCUUGGGGAUGUCGAUAGCUCUAUUCUGGCUCAGCUCAUCGAAAGUGGCAGAGUUUCAGCACCUGAAGGUGAUGUUGAUGAGGAUACAGCUAAUACCUCGGAGCAUCAUAAGGUUGGACCUCUUCCAGAUGAUGUGGAGGUGCAAAACAAUGGCAAAAGUGUGGCAGCACCUAUAUCUUUAGUAGAAACAAAAGUUGCUACUUCUAACAUUCCGGCAGAUUCAUGUACCAAGGUUGAACCGUAUAAGCUUUCUCUGAGGCUCGACUAUGCUGCUUACAUGAUCCAUUUAGCUGUCUUUGGAUUUUUGGGGGUAUUCACAAGGUAUGGACUCCAAAAGCUGUUUGGCCCAGACUGCUUGGCACUCACCUCAGACCAAAGCCCGCUAUAUCCUGAUCUUCCAUCUAAUAUGGUAUGUGCUAUCCUUGUAGUGCUCAAGUCGCAACACUAUAUCGAGUCAAGGAAUUCUUGUAGAGAAAGAGAAAGCACAGGAGAUUUGAUCUGUAUAUACUAACUCUUGUUGAUUGCUAAAUUGGACGGGCCAGCUUGGAUCUUUCCUGAUGGGCUGGUUUGGGAUCAUCUUCAAGGCUGAUAUAAGGAAUAUAUCUGAUCAUCUUAUCAUUGGAAUCACUACUGGCUACAUGGGAAGCCUUACCACUUUCAGUGGGUGGAACCAAAAAAUGGUUGGCUUGUCUUCCAAAGGCCACUGGGUAUAUGCUAUAGCAGGCAUAGUACUAGGAAUGUUCAUUGUCAAUGAGUCCAUCACGGUUGGUGUGGAGACGGGCGAGCGCCUACGAAGUUUGAUCCUGAAAUACAUCAAGGGGAGGUGUUCAAUAAGUCACACAUAUGACUGGGAGCACUGGAGGGUAGAUACCAGGACUAAGCAGUCUGUGCUUCUGUCAGUGAUGAUGAUUGUGAUGUCCUUCUUAUGGGUUUUGAGCAUUGUAUUGGCUGUAGUAAAGCUGCGUAGUCUUGCUGAUGGUGCUGUACUCUGGAUGGGCUGCUCGGUAGCGCCUCCAGGUGUUUGGCUACGCUGGUACCUGGCAAGGCUGAAUGGUCAGGGAAUUGGCAAGCACCAAUCCUUCAAAUGGCUGCCCAUUGGGACCCUUGCAGCCAAUGUUCUUGCUGCAGGCAUCAUGGCAGCGCUUGCUGUAACAUCCAAAGCGGUACAUACAAAUCGAUCGACAACUAUUCUUAGUGGCAUACAGCUUGGCUUCCUUGGUUGCUUGAGCACAGUGUCUACUUUUGCUGCUGAAGUUUACACCAUGAGAAGAAGUGGGCAGAUUACAAGGGCCUUUGUUUAUGCUGCAUCCACCUUCCUGCUCUCUUUUGUGCUGGGAACUCUGAUAUACUCUGUGCCAGUUUGGGAAAAGCAUUACGGAUGACUUUGGCAACUUCAGGAUCCAACAUAUUAGCAGCUGGCUCAAAUACGUAAUGAAACUUUUCAGAACAUAUAAGUUUGUGUGUCAAUGUACUUAGAAAGAAUCUCAAAACCUAAACGGAAGUACAAGGCACGGAGCCAAGAGCUCGAAGGCUCAUGGCUACGGGAGAGAAACUGGAUCAAAUAUGCAAUUUUGCUGCACAAAUGUGUGCACAAUAGACUCAAAACGACAAUACAUACCUGGCUAGGAAAAAGACUCCAGCUUUACCUGUAGAACUCAUGUAGAGUGGCCUGGUACAAUUUUUGACUUCGUGAAUGUGAAUCGAGCAUAUGCAUGUUCAAAAUGUCAUCUGGUAUUUGUGAACCAAAUUGUAUCCCUAACGUGUGGUAUCUGGUACAAUGUUUGAUGCAUCCAUUAGUGUGGGAUUAACUUCAAUUGUA